CACAUACUCCCUUUGUUCGAAAAAGCUUGUCUCUCAAAUUGAUGUAUUUAGCAGCAAACUAGUGCUAGAUGCAUCCAUUUGAGGGACAAGUUCGGGACAAGCUUUUUCGGACGGAGGGAGUAUAUG
rfam:Triticum aestivum genome assembly, contig: Triticum_aestivum_CS42_TGACv1_scaffold_500019_6BL